GCAUCGGUGGUUCAGUGGUAAAAUGCUCGCCUGCCACACGGGCGGCCCGGGUUCGAUUCCAGUCCGAUGCA
rnacentral:tRNA from 1 species